GAUUAUGGCUCAGGACGAACGCUGGCGGCGUGCCUAACACAUGCAAGUCGAGCGGGGACAUACGACGGAGUCAAAGUUUCGGAUGGAGACGAAGAUGUAUGUUCUAGCGGCGGACGGGUGAGUAACGCGUGAGCAACCUGUCCCUUACAGGGGGAUAACACAGCGAAAGUUGUACUAAUACCGCAUGAGACCACGGGAGGACAUCCUCCAGGGGUCAAAGGAGCAAUCCGGUAAGGGGUGGGCUCGCGUCCGAUUAGAUAGUUGGUGAGGUAACGGCCCACCAAGUCGACGAUCGGUAGCCGACCUGAGAGGGUGAUCGGCCACAUUGGGACUGAGACACGGCCCAAACUCCUACGGGAGGCAGCAGUGGGGAAUAUUGGGCAAUGGGGGGAAACCCUGACCCAGCAACGCCGCGUGAGGGAAGAAGGUUUUCGGAUCGUAAACCUCUGUCCUUGGUGAAGAGGAAGAGACGGUAGCCAAGGAGGAAGCCCCGGCUAACUACGUGCCAGCCGCUGC
rnacentral:rRNA from 1 species